GCGCUCGUAGCUCAGCUGGAUAGAGCGGCGGUUUCCUAAACCGCAGGUCGCAGGUUCGAGUCCUGCCGGGCGCA
rnacentral:tRNA from 1 species